CAAUAAGUGUUUAUUGUUUUUAGUUAUUGGAUUUCACGUUCUGGAAAAAAGAAAAAUAUUUGUACUUGAGGAAAAUAUUUGCUGUAAACCUCGUACUCAAGCGAUCCAUUGAAAAAAGUGCGCAGAUAAAUGAAGGACAUUGACUUGGAUUCAUUCUUCUUUAAACUCAACGCAAGAAUGGGAAAGGGAAGUAGAAAAAGGAACUGUUCUAUACGAAAGGUGCAUUUCCAUAUAACUACGAGAAUCAAAAUAAAUUUCAAAGUGUUAUUGUGGAAUUAAGAUUGCAGUCUUCUGAGUUUCUCUUCGUUCCAGGCUACAAUAAAUCGUUCUCAAAGAAAAAUGUAAAAA